ensembl:lncRNA
AUGGGGGGGUCAGGUCUUCGGGGAGUCAGUUCUCCACGGGGCCUGAGGAUGGAGGGAGUGGAGAGAGAAACAGAGUUGUUACGGAAGGGCUCGGGGCCUCGGGCUCAUCGGGAUGAAAAGAACACCCUCUCCAUGGCCCCAUGGUCUGCUCUGUCCCUUCGCUGUCCUUGUUCACUCCCUCCCGAGACCCACUCUGCUCCAGCCACAUUGAUCUCCACCUUGCUCUUCCUCCUGCAAGCCAAGCACGGACUUGCCCCAGGGCCUUUGCACUGGCCGUUCCCACGGCCUGGCCCUCCCUUAGCCCUUCCCAUAGCACUCAGGCCUCUGUCACUAGAGCCCCACCCCCAGGGGCUUUCUCAGGCCGGCUGUUCAGUCAACCAGUCACCCCCAGCUCCUCCCCACUGCACACCCCAAGUCAUUCUAUCUCAUUGCACUGUAGUUAUUUCUCUUCAUGUUCUCUGGGCUAAUCUUGGUCAAUGUCAAAGCAGGUCCUGCCUGCUUGCCCCACUAGAAUGGAAGGUCAGAGAGGACAGGACUGUGUUUAGUCACCGCCACAACCCCAGCAUCCAGCAGUGCCCCCGUACAGAGAACCACCCCCCCCAAUUUUUUUUUUUUUUUUUUUUUUUGCUGUUUUAGGGCUGCACCCGAGGCAUAUGCAAGUUCCCUGGCUAGGGGUCGAAUCGGAGCUGCGGCUGCCGGCCUACACCACAGCUCACGGCAACACCGGAUCCUUAACCUCCAAGUGAGGCCAGGGAUCGAACCCACAUCCUCAUGGAUACUAGUCAGAUUCGUUUCCACUGCACCACAAAGGGAAACGAAUUUUCCCACCACUCCUCUCCCAGUGGAAGGAGAGCCUCCCACCCAUGCCACAGAUCCAGAAAACCAAGGACUGUGGGGUGGGGGCUCGCACCCAGGGCUACACACUGGGCACCCCCCCCCACCUCCACUUCUCACCUGAAUGGCCUGGGGAAGGUCACUGCCCUCACUCCCUGUCCUGAGCCCCAUCAUUCUUUCUCCUCCUAUGGGGAGCAUGACCCUCAUGUUCCUUUCAAAGAAGUAGGAACAGAAGUUCCUGUCGUGGUGCAGUGGUUAACGAAUCUGACUAGGAACCAUGGGGUUGCGGGUUUGAUCCCUGGCCUUGCUCAGUAGGUUGGGGAUCUGGCGUUGCCGUGAGCUGUGGUGUAGGCUGCAGACGCGGCUCAGAUCCUGUGUUGCUGUGGCUCUGAUGUAGGCCGGCGGCUACAGUUCUGGUUCAUCCCCUAGCCUGGGAACCUCCGUGUGCCAUGGGUGCGGCCCUAGAAAAGGCAAAAGGACAAAAAAAAAAAAAAACCAAAAAACAAAGAAGUAGGGAAAGUCUGGGGUGGGGUAGGGCGUCCCUCAGCACCCGGGGAAUGUGAAUGAUGCAGGCAGAGCCACGCCAAGCACGGGUCUAAGGAAGAAGGAGGCUCUCCUUGGGCCCCCACGCUGCGAUCUCAGGGACACCGGCUCAGCAGCUCCCCAGCCCAGCUGCAGCAGGAUAGCUAAGUUCUGAGUAAAGGGAUUCAGGGGUGCUGCACGGUUGCGCCCUCCCUCUCCUCUCCUGGUGAAUAAAGAUCAAGUCAUCUGUGAUCGCCA